GACGAACGCUGGCGGCGUGCUUAACACAUGCAAGUCGAACGGAAAGGCCCUGCUUUUGUGGGGUGCUCGAGUGGCGAACGGGUGAGUAACACGUGAGUAACCUGCCCUUGACUUUGGGAUAACUUCAGGAAACUGGGGCUACUACCGGAUAGGAGCUCCUGCUGCAUGGUGGGGGUUGGAAAUUUUCGGCGGUUGGGGAUGGACUCGCGGCUUAUCAGCUUGUUGGUGGGGUAGUGGCUUACCAAGGCUUUGACGGGUAGCCGGCCUGAGAGGGGGACCGGCGACAUUGGGACUGAGAUACGGCCCAGACUCCUACGGGAGGCAGAAGGGGGGAAUAUUGCACAGUGGGCGGAAGCCUGAUGCAGCAACGCCGGGUGCGGGAUGACGGCCUUCGGGUUGUAAACCGCUUUCGCCUGUGACGAAGCGGGAGUGACGGUAAUGGGUAAAGAAGCACCGGCUAACUACGUG
rnacentral:rRNA from 1 species